rnacentral:rRNA from 1 species
CCUACGGGAGGCUGCAGUGAGGAAUAUUGGUCAAUGGCCGGAAGGCUGAACCAGCCAUGCCGCGUGAAGGUCAGUGCCCUAUGGGCGUUAAACUUCUUUUGUGCGGGAGCAAUAAUGGUCACGUGUGGCCAGACGAGAGUACCGUACGAAUAAGCAUCGGCUAACUCCGUGCCAGCAGCCGCGGUAAUACGGGGGAUGCAAGCGUUAUCCGGAUUUAUUGGGUUUAAAGGGUGCGUAGGCUGUGAGGUAAGUCAGCGGUGAAAUGCCCCCGCUCAACGGGGUGAAGUGCCAUUGAUACUGCCUGGCUGGAAUGCGGAAGCGGUGGGAGGAAUGUGUGGUGUAGCGGUGAAAUGCAUAGAUAUCACACAGAACACCGAUUGCGAAGGCAUCUCACGAAUCCGCGAUUGACGCUGAUGCACGAAAGCGUGGGUAUCAAACAGGAUUAGAUACCCUAGUAGUC